UAGUGGGUCUUUUGAUCCGGAUCGGAUACGGUGCCCUCCAGCUUUGUUUUGGGGCAGAGCCGGCGUCCUCCUCUGCCGAGCAGCAGAGCAAAGCAUCUCCCGGCAAACGUGUGCUUGGAGUAGAAUGCUGCUGUUUUUUUUUUUGGAGCGAGAGUAGACUGCUGGUGGGCCGCUCGGCAAGCAUGGCCCGUUCUGCUUGCCCGAUCCGUUCUGCAGGCCCAUACGCGACCCAAGUAGAGUGGGCGCACCAUGAAGCAGGAAAGAAGGGGUAAAGUUCCUCGCCGCCGGCGGCCACCGUGCGCGAGAAAGGAGACGCCGUCCGCCCUGAGCUCCCCUCCUCCCUGCCGGUGCUCCCGGUGCCCGCCGCCGUCUCUGCCCGGCUUCCCUGUCACGGUGGCCGAGCCGCUCGCUUCCUUUCCCCACAGGUCGCGGGCCACGGCCUCCUCCUCUACGGAUGAUUGAUUUGGAACAAAAGUUGCUCCAGGUCCAGGAUGGUCCCUGACAAGGCGAAAAAACAGAGCAGUUCUAGAUUCAUGAAGAUGGUGGCCUUGGAGGUUUUCUGAAGAGCUAAAGGAUGGAAAACAGUUGGGAUAAAAGUAGCUUUGGUGCCUGCACCGGUAGUAUAUGAUGCUAGCUUUUGCUGUCUUAGCUGCUGGAUUUCGAUGAUUUUGCAAGCUUGAUGUGAUUAUGCAAACUGUUAGGAUCUGAGUCUAAACUCCAGCACCUUUUCUUGCCUUUUUUUUGGCUUUCGUUGUGUUUUUAGUUCAGCAUUGUACUCUGUCAUGUUUCGUUAAUUCAGCUGGGUGCAAGGCCUCUGUAUAAUGAUAAUAAUAAAAUAUAAGAUUUCUUUUUGUAUAAAAAAGAGUUUAUGCUUUCAAUUAUUAUAUUAUCAAUUCUUGCUUCUUCUCAUGCUUUACCGUCAGUAGAUUACUUGACGUUUAAGAGAGCAUUUGAGAGCUUUUCAUCAACUGUCAAGUUUACUGUGGUGUUUUGUUUCCUAGGUAUCACAGUAGCAGCAGAAUAUUAUUCGAGCAGUUAGUUGGUUGAACUUGUGCAGUGAUUAUUGUUGUGCCUGGUGGAUGAGAAAAUUAUAUUUUAAUCAGAAGGGCUUGUUACAUAAGUAGAGGCUUCAUAUAACAUGUUGUUUGUUGUUUCAUUUCCUGCUUAUGUCUCAGACUUGGUGAUGGUUGAUUCAGUUGAUCGAUAUCUCGUAUUUUUUCAAAUAUCAAUGUAUGAAUGUAUUAAUUAGGUUCUCAAUAUAUAUUUGCUACAGGUAUGGCUGUAGUCUACACUUCUUCAGAUGUAUACAUACUUUUUUUUAGGUUAUGCUUAUGCUUAACCACACUGAUUAUUUUGCUUCAAAAAAGCUGCCUGCUGCCGUAUUAACACUUAGGGGUAACUUGAAUAAGGGCAAUUCCAUGACUUCACAAAUUGUAAAGAGGUGAGCCUUCAACUUCUGUUUUUUGAAACAGGUGAUAUUAUACAUAUUCAGUUUCUUUUUUACUUCAGCACAUCAAUGCGAUGUUUAUUAAUGCUCCUAAUUCUUCUACCCUAUUGCAGUUACUGAAGGGAACCCGCACGCUUCCAUCCCAUGACCCCUAAAACUGUCGACUAUUGCUAAUGGUUCUGGAGCUUCAAAUUUAGUUUGCUCUUUCUUUGGAAUGGAAUUAAUGUAAGAAGCUUAAUUAAUUUCUCGACAAGCUAUUCCUGAGUUUUUUUGUUAGAACAUCAUCAUGUCUGCGUCUGCCUUAUGGGUCCUCUAGUAACUAGUUAAACACUUUGAUGGAUGCAGACAAGCAUUUCCCAAGUUUGGAACCAGAAGAUUCUUUUCAAGCAGACAUCAUAGAGUCAAACACAUAUGCCUAUCAGAAACUGGAAAAGGCUCCUGAGUUUUAGGUUAGGUGAUUGAGCCGUCUGUUUGCGCAAGUGAAGUAGGUUGCAUAUGUAUAUGAUUGAGGUACCUGAGGUCUUGACUCCCUAUCAAAAGGUUUUGUCAUGGAGCAAACUGGGCGCUUUUUAUCUCAUCUAGAAAGUGACCUAAAUCUCAUAGAGUUAUGAUAUAAACUUCCUAUACCAACUCUGCUCAUGCCGAUUUGCUGAGUCAGCAAGCUAUGGUCGAACAGUGGCACAACAAUCUGUCAAAAUAAAUUCAGGUCAUUAUACUAGGUUGACAUGAUAUUGAUAUUAUUAUUUUGCGUGCAUAGAAAGAAAAGCCUUCAGUUUAAGAAAAAAACUCUGCUAAAAUUAUUUUCAAAUUUGUGGAGGACAUUUUAGUUUUUUUUACAGGGAUGUUUUAGGUUUACUUGGUGCUCUUUUUCUGUAGCACUUGUUGGUGCCCAGUACAAUCCCUUUGUCACAGAAUCUUUCUGCUUAGCUGCUCACAACUAUUGCAAUAAUGUUGCUAAAAUAAGUAGGAGGGCUAGGUUCUUCGCAAAUAGGGAAACCAUUAUUGCAUAGGAGCGGCUUUGGUUCCUUGUCAGUUUGGAUAGUUUAAAUUGGCAAAAGAAUGACCUAUUGCAGUGUAGCCUUGUACAUUCACUUUUCUUUGUUAACUCCAGAUCCACAAUAUCCUUCGUUUAUUCUGCAACAGCAAGUUGGCAACAUCUUUGACCAACUAAUUUUCGGUUCUACAGCGACCAUUUUCAUUAUGUAGGCAUAUGGCACACUGCACAGUUAAUUAAUAACAAAUAUCAAGCAGCAUCACGCCUUGUCUUAGAUUCUUCUACCGAAUCCGACUGCAUAGAUUAAUUAUUGGCUGCUUAAUCUACUAUUAUAUUCCUUGUCAUCACAAGGCACGCGCUGGUCCAUGAUUAAGGCCCAUUUACAAACUGUGUAUCUUUCAAUCAGCUGCUGGUCCCAGCGCGGAAAGGUAAAAUAAACAUAUCGAUGGAUCUCAUUAUAAGGUUUCAGAUGGUUUACAAAUGCACUGAUUUUGUCUUCUCUACUUGUUCCUGCUGCAAGAGAUUGCUCUGUUUCCGCCCAUUGUCCUUGGUCCUCCAUCUUACAUGCAGUUGCUUAAACUUUUCUGUUCCAUUUCAUUAUGCACGAUAAAUUUCUGUUCCGUUUCAAAAAAAGCUUUCAUACUUAUACCGAAUUUGGUUUGUUCGUGUGCAUUCAUUCAAUCCUGUAAAGGAUCCAUGGAAGGCUACUAGACGAAAAGAUAAGCAAUUUGUUUUGGCAUACCGAGCUUGUAUGACAUGCGUGGCCCGACAUAACUUGCAAUGCGGGACAUGACAAAAGCGGCAACCAAACAAGCUCUUUCUAAAACCAAGGGAAAGGCUCCACACGGUAGCCACUACAGUUUCCAAAUUCCAAUGCUCGCGUGUUAGUCGUUCCCAAGAUUUUACAACCCCGAAUGGAUGCCCCUCGCGAGAAGCCGCUGCUCUUCCUGUGUGAGGAACACGCAUUGAGGUCAACAUGCAUGUGUGAGAGCUCGGCCCAAGUAAAGCAGAUCAUAUGCAAAAGCUGUGCGGACUGGCCAUGCGUGCGUGCACGCGUACGGCAAGGUGUGUACGUGGAGAAGAUGAACAGGACGCGCAAGUCAGCAAGCCCUGUGAAUCUGGCAAUCUGGGUGGUCGCCGGCCAAGUGCUCACCUGCGAAGCGACGCGAUGAACUCCUGCCGCGUCAUCGACUUCAUCUCCUCCAGCUCCUUCUCGUAGUUGGACACCUUUUGGAUAGCAAAGAGGCUCAGCGAUCAGCAUCCGGCCUGAUGUAUAUGGAGUUGCCAAUCAAUGCCGAUCUCUUGCCGGAGUCGGUCACUCACCGGGAAGUUUGUCGUGGUGGUCGGGCCCCAGUACUUCAGGGCGGCCAUGUCAUAGGCCCUCGCCGCCUUCUCCUCCUUGUCAUAGCCUCCUGCAUUUCCCCCAAAAUUUCUAAUGUAAGACUCAAAUGCUUGUGUUUCCAAAUCAUGAACCAGAUGGCAUCGAUGAAGAUGUGUAAAAUGA